UGGGGAAUCUUGGACAAUGGGCGCAAGCCUGAUCCAGCCAUGCCGCGUGAGUGACGAAGGCCUUAGGGUUGUAAAACUCUUUCGUCGGGGACGAUAAUGACGGUACCCGAAGAAGAAGCUCCGGCUAACUUCGUGCCAGCAGCCGCGGUAAUACGAAGGGAGCUAGCGUUGUUCGGAAUCACUGGGCGUAAAGCGCACGUAGGCGGAUAGUUAAGUCAGGGGUGAAAUCCUGGGGCUCAACCCCAGAACUGCCUUUGAUACUGGCUGUCUCGAGGUCGAGAGAGGUUGGUGGAAUUCCUAGUGUAGAGGUGAAAUUCGUAGAUAUUAGGAAGAACACCAGUGGCGAAGGCGGCCAACUGGCUCGAUACUGACGCUGAGGUGCGAAAGCGUGGGGAGCAAACAGGAUUAGAUACCCAAGUAGUCCCUGAGCGGGCUGGCAAGGCGCAU
rnacentral:rRNA from 1 species